CCACACAGCAGAUACAAUUGGGAAGCCAACAAAAUUAACAAACAGGAUAUUUAUUUGACGACAACCAAGAGGGGUAAAAAAAAAGUUAAGUAAAUGCAGUAAAUAAUGUUUCCAAAAACUGAUGCAGAACUUUCAAAAUGCCUUUCAGAUUGUCAUAUUUAUUGAAGAGAAAAAUUCUUGGUAAUCUGUGUCAACCAAAAAUUCGGGUGGG
rnacentral:lncRNA from 1 species